AUUCAAAUAGUUUAAAAAUAAAACACUGAUUUGUGGAGUCGGAGAUAUAGUUAAUUAUUUUGGAUA
rnacentral:tRNA from 1 species